rnacentral:lncRNA from 1 species
UAUACCCACUGUCAACAUCCGUUUUCAAACUGGACAGACAAAAUUAAAAAAAAGUGUUCUUCACGAUCUCCCUGGAAAUAAUUCGAAGCAAAUAAUUCACGCUAUCACUUUGUGAACAUUAAUUGUAAACACGAAACUGCAAAUACGGACCAAAACGAAUCAAAUUUGAAAGCGUGGAUGAUAAUGUUUCAUGCCGACUGUAAGUUCUCUAAAAAAGGGGGUGGGGUGGGUAGGUACUUUAUGAAUUUUGCUGCACGUCAAAGACGUCCAUGUACUAAAUCAUUAGAAUGUAAGACAUAUUCACUUUAACUCUUGGCUACUUUAUACCUGGUCUUAUAUAAAUAAAUUCCCAUUUUAUCUGGGAACAAUUAAUUUUAUCUUCAUUAUAAACUAACUAUAUAUCUAACUAAUUUUAUUCAGGAUAAAAUCCAGUACAAAAGGAUCAUCGCUGAAACACAUGAACACAUAUAAAAACAUAUACAAAACAAAACAACAAUAAAACAUAACAGCCAAAACUUUUGACACUUAUAACAACAUGAACAAGCAAGAGACAAAACUCAUUAUAUGUUUAUGUGUUAAGAAUCAGAAUGUAUUGUGUAUUGUUGUCAUUAUUGCCCGUCAGGGGCCCUUAAUUGGAAAUAUAAAGAAUUUUGAACUUUUAUAUGUCCCUGAUUUCAUUUAUAUAAUACAUGUACACUCAAGUUUAAUAUUUUAUCUAUAAAGGAAUUAAAUCUUUUAUGAACACAAAUUGAUACAAUACAAAGGGAAAGGGAUUAUAGGCACUUGUUUCUGACAAAGGGGGUUCACUAUCCAUACUCUUCUUUCCCAUAUAUAAAAAAAUAAACCAGAUACAUGUAGUAUCCCCAUUGUAAUUAACCAAUCACCCGUCACCCAUUCAAGAGCUUACACAGUGACAUACAUUUACAUGUCAGACCAGAAACUAACAAAUUUCAGUGGCAAAACCAGAACUUUUCAUAAAAAGGGGGGGGGGGGGGCUCCAGUCCCUAUAUUAUCAACCAAAUUUUUUCCAACAAGGUCUCAAUAGUCAUGACAGUGGUGGUUCCAUGAUUUUAAUUUAGAAAAACUGGGUUGUGAGUGGGAGCCUGUAAUUCAGUGGUUGUCGUUUGUUUAUGUGUUACAUAUUUGUUUGUUCGUAUUUUCAUAAAUAAGGCCUUUAGUUUUCUCGUUUGAAAUGUUUUACAUUGUCUCAUCGGGGCUCUUUAUAGCUGACUAUGCUGUAUGGGCUUUGCUCAUUGUUGAAGGCUGUACAGUGACCUAUAGUUUUUAAUGUCUGUGUCAUUUUGGUCUUUUGUGGAUAGUUGUCUCAUUGGCAAUCAUACCACAUCUUCUUUUUUAUAUUAUACAUAAAAAAUAAAUUUUCAAGACUUGGAAAUAUUUUCUUUGCCCAUUAUUGCCUUUAACUUUUAUGUAUUGAGCAAAAUGCUUGAGGCAUAAUUAUUUUAAUACUUAGUAAAAACAUGUAUUUUCUUGGUAAAUCAUAUGGCAAAUUUGUAUUAAUGUGUUGAUAAUAACAAUGCAAAGUUUAAUUUUGCUUUGAAUAAUUUAGUAUAUAAUUUAUUUAGUAAUUGUAUGUACAUUUGCUUUAUAUUUACAGGAAGGAGAAAGAUGUUCACUAUGAAUCAAAAUUCAAUACAUAGGACUUUUAUAUAUAUAUCAACAAAAAACACUUGUACAUGUACAUGUGUAUGUGUGAUAUACAUACAUGUACAACAAGAAAACAGUAAUCAAAUGGAAUGUCAAUGACCAGUGUCCAAUAAUGUUGAAAGCAAAAUGAUUUUGAUAGAAAACAAUAGGACUAGAAUAUAUUAAGGGUAAGUAAUCCAAAAGUGUCUGUUUAGGGUAAAAACAGUCAGUUAUUUACAGUGUGCUAUGAUUUCAAUCCCACAAAUAUGAAACAAAAAAAUAAUAUACAUGGUAUGCAGACUGUUUUCAUAAGGGAAUAGACUGAAAAUAUCUACAUUUAACAGUCAGACAUAAUUAUAUACUAAAUUAUUCUUUUUAUAAUAUAUAAAAGUUGCCAAUGGAAUAAAUUGAGGAUGGAAAUUAUAAUUAAUGAGAUAUAGGUAAAAGAAUCAUACACAGACUUUAAGGCCGAAUGGUACAUGUAUUCUUUAAUAGUUUAAAGAUUUUAUUCUGUUAUCUAUGCUGUAUAAAUGUCAAGAUAGUUACAUUUGGAUUUAAAACCUAAUUUCAAGAAUGAAGGGUACCAUAAUUUAAAUUUAAUUUAUGAUAAAAAAAACAAUAUAAGGGAAUUAACUCUUACAUGAUGUGCAUCAUAUCCAUGCAAAUGAAGCGUUUUAAUAAAUCUGACCAUUUUUAUACGACUGCAAAAAUUAAAAAAUUUUGGUCGUACAUGUAUAUUGGUAUCACAUUGGCGUCUUCGUCGUCGUCUGAAUACUUUUAGUUUUAGCACUCUAACUUUAGUAAAAGUGAAUAGAAAGCUAUGAAAUUUAUACACAAGGUUUAUAACCACAAAAGGAAGGUUGGGAUUGAUUUUGGAAGUUUUGGUCCCAACAUUUUAGGAAUUAGGGGCCAAAAAGGGCCCAAAUAAGCAUUUUCUUGGUUUUCGCACUAUAACUUUAGUAUAAGUAGAUAUAAAUCUAUGAAAUUUUGACACAAGGUUUAUGACCACAAAAGAAAGGUUGGGAUUGAUUUUGAGAGUUUUGGUUUCAACAGUUUAGGAAUUAGGGGCCAAAAAAGGGCCCAAAUAAGCAUUAUUCUUGGUUUUCGCACAAUAACUUUAGUAUAAGUAAAUAGAAAUCAAUGAAAUUUAAACACAAGGUUUAUGACCACAAAAGGAAGGUUGGGAUUGAUUUUGAGAGUUGAGGUCCGAGCAGUUUAGGAAUUAGGGGCCAAAAAGGGGCCCAAAUAAGCAUUUUUCUUGGUUUUCGCACCAUAACAAAGUCAAUAGAAAUAUGAAAUUUAAACACAAGGUUUAUGACCAUAAAAGGAAGGUUGGGAUUGAUUUUGGAAGUUUUGGUCCAAACAGUUUAGGAAUAAGGGGCCCAAAGGGUUUGAUUUCAUCAAAAAUUGAAUAAUUGGGGUUCUUCAAUAUGCCGAAUCUAACUGUGUAUGUAGAUUCUUAAUUUUUGGUCCUGUUUUCAAAUUGGUCUACAUUAAGGUCCAAAGGGUCCAAAAUUAAACUUAGUUUGAUUUUAACAAAAAUUGAAUCCUUGGCCAAGUUGGGGUUCUUUGAUAUGCUGAAUCUAAAAAAUACUUAGAUUUUUGAUUAUUGGCCCAGUUUUCAAGUUGGUCCAAAUCGGGGUCCAAAAUUAAACUUUGUUUGAUUUCAUCAAAAAUUGAAUAAUUGGGGUUCUUCGAUAUGCCAAAUCUAACUGUGUAUGUAGAUUCUUAAUUUUUGGUCCCGUUUUCAAAUUGGUCUACAUUAAAGUCCAAAGGGUCCAAAAUUAAACUAAGUUUGAUUUUAACAAAAAUUGAAUUCUUGGGCUUCUUCUUUGAUAUGCUGAAUCUAAACAUGUACUUAGAUUUUUAUUAUGGGCCUAGUUUUCAAAGUUGGUCCAAAUCAGGAUCUAAAAAUUAUUAUAUUAAGUAUUGUGCAAUAGCAAGAAAUUUUCAAUUGCACAGUAUUGCGCAAUAGCAAGAAAUCUUCAAUUGCACAGUAUUGUGCAAUAGCAAAUAUUUUCAAUUGCACAGUAUUGCGCAAUAGCAAGAAAUAUCUAAUUGCACAAUAUUGUGCAAUAGCAUGAAAUUUUCAAUUGGAGUCUUAUCUUUCUUUGUUCAGAAUAGUAGUUGAAUCAACUUAAAUCAUUGUUUUAUACAAUAUACAAUGUAUAUUCACUUUUACUACCAACUGAUAAAUUAAAACAAUCUUUACCAUUCAGUGAUUACAAGCACUUUCUUUACGUUUUAAUAUUUUAUGAUGUAUUUAAAUGAGUAGUUAUUGUUGCAAACUCCAUUAGAAAUUUGAAUUGAGAUCAGUUUUGGAAUAAGGGAAAGGGGGAUGUGAAAAAAAAUUGGGGGGGGGGGGGUUAAAUUUUUUUCAUUUCAGAUUUCAUAAAUAAAAGAAAAAUUUCUUCAAACAUUUUUUUGAGAGGAUUAAUAUUAACAGCAUAGUGAAUUGCUCAAAGGCAAAAAAAAAUUUUUAAGUUCAUUAGACCACAUUCAUUCUGUGUCAGAAACCUAUGCUGUGUCAACUAUUUAAUCACAAUCCAAAUUUAGAGCUGAAUCCAGCUUGAAUGUUGUGUCCAUACUUGCCCCAACCGUUCAGGGUUCAACCUCUGCGGUCGUAUAAAGCUGCGCCCUGCGGAGCAUCUGUUUUUUUUAGAUAAGAGAAUGACUUGAGCAGACUGUAUUGGGGUCAUAGAUGGCAAUAACAAUGAAAUACAAUAUAUUAUAAUUAUCAUUCUUCCUUUCUUUUUGAUUAAAUUAACAAACUUAAUUUAAUAACAAAAUAUUUCAUUUUCAGUAAACAACACAUCCUGUCAGAGGAAUAAUUUUACUGGAGGAUAAAACUUUUUAUAAAAAUUGAUACCUGGAAUCAGCAAUUUAUAUGAAAUUUGUUAUGAGAGAUAUAUUCGUGUACAGAAUGGUAAUCCAGGUGGUUCAAGUGAUUAUAAGAAGACA